rnacentral:lncRNA from 1 species
UCAUCCCAGGUCUUGGGAGGCUGAGGCAGGAGAAUCGUCUCGAGUUCGAGGCCAGCCUGGGCUACAUAGUAAACCCCGUCUCAAAAAACCAACAACAAAAAAGCGAAGUGUGACACUACUCGAAGCCAGUCUGGCUGUGGAGAACCCACCACCCAGCUUCACCGUCCAAAAGGGUCGAUGGCACCACAUUUUCCAGUUUUCUCAACCGUGCUGAGGCAGGGAGAGGAGUCAUCCAGAGCCGCUGAAGGGCGUGGGGAGAGUCAGGGUUUAAAAAUAGCCGCGACCCAGCGGCUGCAGAGGGAGCUGCUGCUGACUUGAACAUUCAGCAUCACCAAAACACAACAGCACCGCCUAGCUCGUUUUGUCAAUGUGGUUUUUCCACUAUUAUUUCUGCAACGCUGGAGGCAUGCAGACAGAAGGGAUGCAACCUGCAGGAUAUGCCAGGGCUUGUCUAAAAAUAUUUGACACCUGUUCUGUGUUCCGCACACUGGUCAUAUUUUGUCAGUGAAGCGGGCGAUGGAACCACUCAGGUAAAUCCCUGGCCCCUCCCCCUCUUUUCUACCUGCAUGAAAAUGUGGGAGCCCUGCACCGCUGUCUGCUUGAGCGACACUAACUCCUCCCAUUCCUGGGCCAGCCUGGUAGAAACAGUGUCUGCGCUGCUUUUCCCAACAGCACGGCACUUUCUUUUAUUUUAUUUUCAAUUUUAAUUUUUGUUUUUUUGAGACAGUCUCACUAUGUAGUCCGGGCUGGCCUCCAACUCACAGUGAUCCUCCUGUCUCAGCCUCUCCAGUGCUUGGGGCACAGGAAUGCGCCACAAGGCCUGGCUGUUCUUCACUUUUCUGAUUUCAUAGGGCAGCAAACAUGGCCAAAAUUCUGGACUUCAUUGCUUUAAAUUCUAUAAUCCUCUCAG